rnacentral:lncRNA from 10 species
GAUGAUGUAAGUCUUCACCUAUUUAAAACACAGUUUACAUAUAGGAUGCUUUCUCUGCCUUUUAAGAUCUUGGAAACUCCCACAUAGAACAACUGUAAAACUUGGCUAAGGGAGUUACCCACCUCCUCUCUUAUUCCCCAUGCACAGACACACACAAACCCAUGGAGCUCUCAGAAAUCAUCUGCAUUCAAGUUUGCACUGAAUAAUACUUACUUUUGACUAGCAACUGGCUCAGCAGUCAUCAGGAGAAUGAUUGCUUCAAUAAUCAACAAAAAAUGUAUAAAUGAAGAGAAAUUCAUUACUAAUUAUUUCUCCUCUCCGAGAUCAGAUGAACAAGUAAUAUGCCUUUGCAAAUAAGGAAGGAAAAUGAUUCCCUCCACAGGUUUCCAUCUCUCCACUAAACCCAAAGAAAGGUAGGUAGGAAAUGCUACUUUCCUAAUUCAUUAUCAUUCUUUUUUUUUUUUUUUAACAUUUGUACCUGUCAGUUGUACAAAAAGCUAAAAGAAGAAGCAACUAGAAUGAUAGGAGAUGGUGAAAUGGGUAAAUGUGGUCACUCCCAGUGUGUAGUCAAAUUGAUCCUCACAAUGUCAAUU